CCCAUGUUCCAAUUUCACGUAAACAACCCUCCUCUCCUCUCAUUCAACUUCACGUGAAAAACCCAAACAGCAAAACCUCCUUCUCUCCUGCCGCCCUGCCGCCGCCCAGCCGCCGGACCUCUACCGUGUUCUCGCCGCCGCAACCACAGAAGCUCCGUGAGCUUUCCUCGUCGUCGGCGCAACCACCUGCGCAGCCGCCGCGCAGAUCCCGACCACCGGCCCGUGCACGCCGCACAACCUCGCUGCCACCACGCACCGCCGUGUGCCGACCACCCUCGUCGUUGCGGCGCUGCCAUUGCCGCCGGCCAGCAGUACCUUCUUCUUCUUUUGGCGGAGAAUUCUCUAUAGGUGACUUUUGAAUUAUUAAAGUGGUCUUGCAGUUUGUUUACACAAGUCUCUAAGGAUCAAUAAGCGUUGCCCAUCUACAGGUUUGAAGAUAUAUGAUGCAUCAUUGGGAUCGGGAUUAGAGAGUUUGUAGUUAUAUUUGUUUUGUUAAGUGAUUUGGUUCGUUAACUUAGACUUGAAAUUUGUCGUACUAUUCGUAUUUCCUUAUUUUCGUUAAUUGGUUUUUGGACUUAAUAUGUAAUCGAUUAUUAUGAACCUAAAAGUUAGUUUUAUGUUUUCCGCUGCAAAAUUCUGAAUAAGCCGUUACGUUUUCACACGGGCGAUAAUACUUUGAUAAUUCUCUAUAGGUAUAUUUAUAAAAGGGUUAUUUUAGAAAAAGGGAAUUGUCGGGGUGUUACAAAGUGGUAUCUAGAAGCUUAUGGUUUUAUUUCAAUAAUUUUUAGGCGCCUAAACUAACUAGUUUUCUAAAACGAAUUUUCUAGAAUCGAGCUCCUACGUAUUAUAGUGUUCAAAAAUUGGUACUUUUUUUUUGGGGGGCGAUUUCCUUUUAUCUUGUUUGAAAGCAUAUUAAUAUUUCUUAUGUAAGUUCGAACUUGACUUAUGUAUUUGAAACUUUUCGUUUAUUCGAAUUAAGUACUUUCUUUUUAUUUUCGAAUUUAACUAAAUAUAUUCGAAAAAAAAAGAAAAAAAGAAAAAAAUAUAUAUAUAUUCUUUUAUUUUAUUUAUUCGUUUAAUAAAAUUAUUUCUUACUAAUCGUUCUUUUUAUUCUUUGAAUUCUUCAAUGUUUGACAUAUUAUGAUUUAUUAUGAGAGAUGGGUAAUAUAGGAAAGGGCAUAUAGGAUAGAAUUAUAUGUGCAUUAGUAGCUAGUUAAUUCUAGCAUAAGAAGUUAAUUUUUAUGUGCAUGUGUUAAAUGUUUGAGUGUUGCAUUUCAAUGUGCAUAAAAGAAAUUGUUUGAUUCCACCAAACUUAUUGUUUUUAUUGAACUUUGAUUAUGGUUUGGUUAUUAUUAGUGAGACCUUAAGCUGUUUGUUCAUGAAUAAAAUGUUUUUUCCAAGUGCACCAACAUAGUAUCCCUUGAGAAGAUCGAUGAAUACUGAGGAUCUAGAUUUCACUCCACAAGUUUCCAAGGAAAGAACAGCUAGGAAAGAUGCCUUAAACAGUUGAAGUUGUAAUAGUUAGUUAGUUCUUAAAUGUUUUGGAGAAUAAGUAGCAAAGCUACAACAGUUUAAAGUUAAAGCAAUAGGAGUUUGAGUUAUUAUUUAUUCUUUUCAAGGAUGUAAUAAACCUUUAUAGAAUUAGCAAUAAAAGUUAAAGUAUUAUUUUCAUUUUGAGAAUUCCAUAAUACACUAAGCUUUAAGUAGCACGCAAGGGAUUAAUUCUUUUUAUUGUUUGCAUACUCGAUGUGAAUUGUGGAUCAAUUUAAUUGCCACAAAAAUAGUAGAUGAUUUGAGUGCAUAAGGGAAAUGAGGGGUAAUCUAGACCCUUAUGACUAAUAUGAUUCAAAAUAUUAUGCCUUAUGUGCGGAAUGUGAAUAUUCUUUAUGGAUGAGUGACGAUGGUUACUCUAAUAUUGUUGUACUUUCUUGAAUAAGUGUUUGUUGAUGUGAUCCCUUGAUCAAAUCUUUUCCUUUAAUGAAUACAUAUGAGUUAUAUUUCGAACCUAAAGUAGAAUAUAUAUUAAUUUCAGCGUGUUAUAGAAUGACCAACCAUAAUGACUUAGUUGUUGCUAUUUGCCUCUUGGCGGAAAAGCUGGCCCAAGAGAGAACUGAGCGUUCCGAUUCUGCUGGGGACAUGUUUGAGAGACUAGCCAAAGUUAAGUCACCAUACUUUAAGGGGCAAACUGAUCUUACCUUUAUAGAGAACUAGGUUAGAGAGUUUGAGAAAUUGUUUGGGGCUGUGAACUGUCCUGAGAAUAUGAGAGUGGGUCAAGUUGUCAUGUAUUUGAAAGAUGAAGCUGGUUUAUGGUGGAGAGAUAAUAGAGUUAGGCUUAGCACUGCUGAGAGAUUCAAUUAGGAUUCGUUUUUUACUGCCUUAAGGAAAAAGUUUUAUCAUCCUUUUUGAGAAAGCAAAAGGCACAAGAAUUCAUAAACCUUAGGAUGGGAAGUAUGACCAUUUCCGAUUACUAUAGCAAAUUUAUAGCACUGUCGAGGUUUGCACCUGAGGUUGUAGCCACAGAGGAGCUAAAGGCUCGGAGGUUUGAGCAAGGUUUGAUUAAUGAGAUCCAAUUAGGAUUAGGUGGGGAAACCUUUACAUCUUUGGAUAUUGUGUAUGGGAAAGCUGCUCAUAUUUAUGGUUUGCAGUUUAGAAGGGACAAGAAAAAUAUUGUUGUUGGGGAGAAAAGAAAAAAGUUUAAUGCUGGGGAAAACCAAGGGAAUUUCAAGGGGAAUAUCAAUGAAAAUGGGAAUGGAUAUGGAAACUUUCAAGGAAGGAACAAACAGGGGCACAACAAUAGGAACCAAUCUGAGAGAGUGUAUCAAUGUAAGAUGUGAAAUAACAACCAUCCUGGUAGGAAUUGUAAGGGAGAAUUAGUGAACUGUAACUAUUGUCAGAAAACGGGGCAUAGGAAGUAUGAGUGCUUUACUAAGCAGAAAAAGGAACAAAAUGGUAAUGAGAGUGGUAACCAGGUGAAGUCGGGAUUUAACCAGUCAAGAAAUUAGAGUUCGAAGCCUAUAGGGUACAGCCAAGGAAACCUCCAUAAGUCUGCUAAUUAGAAUAACAACCAUAACAAGGCCCCGGGUAAACUGUCUGUGAUAAGUCAAAAUGAAGCUGAACGACCUGUUGACUUAGUUUCUGUUACUUUUCUAUUAACUCUGUGCUAGUUAGAAAGUUAUUUGAUUCAGGGAAAGAUUAUUCUUUUAUUUCGUCAUCUCUUAUUAAGAGUCCGAAGUUAGUAGAUUUUGAGGUGAUUGAUUUACCCGUUAGUAUUCCUACUAUUGUAACCAUAAGGUGUACCAAAUUGUUUAAGAACUUGCCUUGUGAACUAUUUUUCGGUUGUGUGAGCUAGAUGUGAGUUAAGAAGUCGGAAUGAAGAUCGAGGAUGUUCCAAUUGUGAAUGAAUUCAUGGAUGUGUUUCCUAGUGAGAUUGCAGGUAUGCCACUUGCUAAGAGCCGUUGAGUCCCCUAUAGACUUAGUUCCUAGAAUGACGCAUAUAUCUAGAGCACCAUAUAGAAUGACACCUCCUGAAAUGAGCUAAUUAAGACAAAGUUGCAAGAUUUGUUUGGUCAAGGAAUAUACUAGGCCUAGUACAUCACCGUGGGGAGCUCCUGUUUUGUUUGUUAAGGAGAAAGAUAAGUGUAUGGAAUUAUGCAUCGAUUUUAGGAAGCUAAACACCAUCAAGAACAAUUAUCCCUUACCUAGGAGAGAUGACAUAUUGGAUCAAUUGAAUUGGGCGAGUGUGUUCUCGAAGACUGAAUCGUGUUUGAAGUACCACCAAUUGAGGAUAGCUGAUAAGGGCCUAAGACCUCAUUAGGACUCGUUAUUGUCAUUAAGGGUUUAGAGUAACGUCUUUUGGGUUAACCAAUGCACCUGCCAUAAUUAUGGAUUUGAUGAAUAAGAUUUUCCACGAUUUCCGAAUUAAGUUCGUUAUUAUGUUAUUGAUGAUAUCCUGAUUUAUUCAAGGAAUGAGAAAGAGCAUGACAAACACUUGAGGAUUAUUUUGGAGACGCUUACAAAGAAUCUAGUUUUUUUUUUAAAUGAAGUAUGCAAAUCGUGAAGUCAUGUGUGUAUAAGUGACACCAACGUAAAAGUGAAGGACUAAAUUGAUUGAGAACUAUGUUACGUACGGGAAUAAAUUUAAGAGAAAAUUUGAGUGGUCAAGGAUCGUUAGAAAUCAUUUGUUGUCUGGAAAAGAUGAAAGGAAAUACAUGAAUUGGUGCAAGAGCUAAGGGUUAAUCUCAAAAGUUAUACACCCCUGAAAAGCGUAAUGAGGUUCGGUAAAAAGGAAAAGUUGAAUAGAAAGAGUUUAUGUAGAUCCUGCUAAGAUUCAAGCUGUGAGUGAGUGACCUACUCCAAAGAACGUGUCCGAUAUUUGAAGUUUUCUAAGCCUAGAUGGCUAUUAUAGGAGGUUGUGAAAGACUUUUCGAAGAAAGAAAAACCAGCGACCAACUUGUUGAAAAAGGAAUCGAAAUUCAAGUGGAGUGAGAAAUGUGAAGAAGCUUCCCAGAUUUUAAAGGAAUGUUUGACCUCUGAACCUGUUGUCGUGUCAAUUGAAACCUUAUGAGGCUAAUUACCCUAUGAAUGACCUAGAGCUAGCUGCUAUUGUGUUAUCUGUGAAUAUUUGAAGACAUUACCUUUAUAUGAAAACAUGUUAGAUCCUUAUCGAUCAUAAAAGUUUGAAAUUUUAUCAAAAAGGGUCCAGUUGAAUCUUGUGGACAACAUUGAAAAUGAUACUGCUUUCCACUCUGCAACUGAUGGUCAGCCUGAGAGCACUAACCAAACCAUGGGAGAUAUGUUGAGAGCAUGUACUAUUGAACUUGAAGAGAAUUUGGGAGAUCAUUUAGAUUUGAUUGAAUUUUCGUUCAUCAAUAGUUACCAUGCGAGCAUUACGAUGUCACAUUUUGAGGAAUUGCAUGGAAAGAAGUGUAGAAGUCCACUUGCUGGAAUGAUUUUUGUGAAAAUGUUGUAUUGGGAACAGAAUUAGUUGAAGGAAAACUAUCCAAAGUUAUUCCCUGAGAUGAGUUACGAGGGCGUAACUCGUUUUCUUUAAGAGGGGUAGAAUGCGAUAGAAAUUCGCACUUUUUUACCUGUUUUAUGGUGAUUUUAUGCAUUUUAUGCCCAUUUUUAUAACUUAUACAUGUUGAUGUAAAGCAAAUAGAUUCUCCACAUAAGAAAAGGAUGUUCAUGAGUAACACAAACAGCUUUAAUUGAGUUGGCAAAAGAGUGCACAUAGGUGGCACAAGUACUCCUCUAGUGAGAAUAAGUUAAAAUCUUUUGGGGAAAUGUGGGAAUUUCCGUGUCAAGUUUCGGGACGAAACUUCUUUUAAGAGGGGUAGAUUGUAAUCCCCCGUAAAUUUAUGAAUUUUAUUAAAUAUAUUUUAACGUAUAUUACUUAUAUUUAAAUAGAAUUUAUGAAUUUUAGUAAUAAAAAUAUAAUUAACGUAUAUUUAUUUUAUUUUAUUUACGUUUUAAAUAUUUUAACGAUUUAUGAAAUUAAAAGUAAUUUUAGAAUUUUACGUUGAAAAGAAUUCGAAUUACGAAAACGCGUUCGAUUGAAUUUGGAUAAACAAUCCUAACUAUUUUUGGAUUCGAACAACCUCAAUUUUAGUCCUAGCCCAAGUUGGCAAAUCCCAAAGAAGUAAACCCAUAUCCCAACCCAUGUUCCAAUUUCACGUAAACAACCCUCCUCUCCUCUCAUUCAACUUCACGUGAAAAACCCAAACAACAAAACCUCCUUCUCUCCUGCCGCCCUGCCGCCGCCCAGCCGUCGGACCUCUACCGUGUUCUCGCCGCCGCAACCACAGAAGCUCCGUGAGCUUUCCUCGUCGUCGGCGCAACCACCAGCGCAGCCGCCGCGCAGAUCCCGACCACCGGCCCGUGCAUGCUGCACAACCUCGCUGCCACCACGCACCGCCGUGUGCCGACCACCCUCGUCGUUGCGGCGCUGCCAUUGCCGCCGGCCAGCAGUACCUUCUUCUUCUUUUGGCGGAGAAUUCUCUAUAGGUGACUUUUGAAUUAUUAAAGUGGUCUUGCAGUUUGUUUACACAAGUCUCUAAGGAUCAAUAAGCGUUGCCCAUCUACAGGUUUGAAGAUGAUGCAUCAUUGGGAUCGGGAUUAGAGAGCUUGUAGUUAUAUUUGUUUUGUUAAGUGAUUUGGUUCGUUAACUUAGACUUGAAAUUUGUCGUACUAUUCGUAUUUCCUUAUUUCCGUUAAUUGGUUUUUGGACUUAAUAUGUAAUCGAUUAUUUAUGAACCUAAAAGUUAGUUUUAUGUUUUCCGCUGCAAAA